rnacentral:rRNA from 1 species
UACGAAGGGGGCUAGCGUUGCUCGGAAUUACUGGGCGUAAAGCGCACGUAGGCGGAUUGUUAAGUCGGGGGUGAAAUCCUGGAGCUCAACUCCAGAACUGCCUUUGAUACUGAAGAUCUUGAGUUCGGGAGAGGUGAGUGGAACUGCGAGUGUAGAGGUGAAAUUCGUAGAUAUUCGCAAGAACACCAGUGGCGAAGGCGGCUCACUGGCCCGAUACUGACGCUGAGGCACGAAAGCGUGGGGAGCAAACAGGG